rnacentral:rRNA from 1 species
AGUGAAACACCGGUUCUAGUACGAUCAUCAAAGUUAAGCAACGUCGAGCCUUAUCAAUACCUAGAUGGGUGACUGCUUGGGAAUAGAAGGUGCUGCAA